CACACACACACACACACACACACACACAGAGCAUAUACAACAUAUGUACACAGAUAUGUGAGAAAUCCAUUUCUGUUUUAUUGUCCUCAUUGAUUGAUUUAUUCAUUCAUUAAUUCAUUCAGGGACCUCAAGGGCCACAGGGUCGUGUAGGAGAGAUCGGGCCAAAGGGACCAAAUGGUCCUGGUGGUAAAGACGGGUUACCGGGUCACCCAGGCCAGCGAGGGGAGCCGGGUUUUCAGGGAAAGACGGGACCUCCUGGACCUGCAGGUGUGGUGGGACCUCAGGGGAACACUGGAGAAACCGGACCAGUGGGAGAACGAGGUCACCCAGGAUCAGCAGGACCACCCGGAGAGCAAGGUUUACCUGGUGCAGCUGGAAAAGAA
ensembl:lncRNA